CCUACGGGCGGCAGCAGUGGGGAAUAUUGCACAAUGGGGGAAACCCUGAUGCAGCGAUGCCGCGUGGAGGAAGAAGGUUUUCGGAUUGUAAACUCCUUUUAUCAGGGACGAUAAUGACGGUACCUGAAGAAAAAGCUCCGGCUAACUACGUGCCAGCAGCCGCGGUAAUACGUAGGGAGCGAGCGUUGUCCGGAAUUACUGGGUGUAAAGGGAGCGUAGGCGGGACGGCAAGUCAGAUGUGAAAACUGAGGGCUCAACUUUCAGACUGCAUUUGAAACUGCUGUUCUUGAGUGCACACAGGGAUGCCGGAAUUCAUGGUGUAGCGGUGAAAUGCUUAGAUAUCAUGAAGAACUCCGAUCGCGAAGGCAAGUGUCCGGGGUGCAACUGAUGCUGAGGCUCGAAAGUGCGGGUAUCAAACAGGAUUAGAUACCCGAGUAGUC
rnacentral:rRNA from 1 species